AAACUGCGAUACGUAGUGUGAAUUGCAGAAUUCAGUGAAUCAUCGAAUCUUUGAACGCAAAUUGCGCUGUUGGGUAUUCCUGACAGCAUGCUUGGCUGAGUAUCAUCUGGAUAAAUCACAAAGAUUUUUUUGUCUUUGUGGAGUUGAGGUGUCACAUUGGUAACAAUGGGUCCCUUUAAAUGCAGUUAGGUGAAGAGGAUUAGCGUCCUUGUAACCACUAGUGUGUCAAUUGUCCUUCUGGGCAUCAUGCGCUAUGUCGGUUCUUGGGCAUCAAAGCUAAUAUCUCUGAACUUUACCUUUUUAUUCUUUUGAAACUUUGAUCUCAGCUCAAGUAAGACUACCCGCUGAAUUUAA
rnacentral:misc_RNA from 1 species